rnacentral:rRNA from 1 species
UACGUAGGGUCCGAGCGUUGUCCGGAUUUAUUGGGCGUAAAGAGCUCGUAGGCGGUUUCGUAAGUCGGAUGUGAAAACUCAGGGCUCAACCCGGAGACGCCAUCCGAUACUGCGAUGACUUGAGUCUGGUAGGGGAUCACGGAAUUCCUGGUGUAGCGGUGAAAUGCGCAGAUAUCAGGAGGAACACCGAUGGCGAAGGCAGUGAUCUGGGCCAGUACUGACGCUGAGGAGCGAAAGCGUGGGUAGCAAACAGG